UACGUAGGGCGCAAGCGUUAUCCGGAAUUAUUGGGCGUAAAGAGCUCGUAGGCGGUUUGUCGCGUCUGCCGUGAAAGUCCGGGGCUCAACUCCGGAUCUGCGGUGGGUACGGGCAGACUAGAGUGAUGUAGGGGGAGACUGGAAUUCCUGGUGUAGCGGUGAAAUGCGCAGAUAUCAGGAGGAACACCCAGGGGGAAACCAGUCGACUGGGCAUCUACUGACGCUGAGGUGCGAGAGCGUGGGGGAGCGGAACCGG
rnacentral:rRNA from 1 species